AUUGAACGCUGGCGGCAGGCCUAACACAUGCAAGUCGAGCGGGCCGCGGGCGGGUGAGUAAUGUCUGGGCAACUGCCUGGUGGAGGGGAAUAACUAAUGGAAACGGUAGCUAAUACCGCAUACCAGCGAGUGUGUCCAGAUGGGAUUAGCUAGUAGGGGGGGUAAAGGCUCACCAAGGCGACGAUCGCUAGCUGGUCGGAGAGGAGGACCAGCCACACGUGAACUGGGACACGGCCCAGACUCCUACGGGAGGCAGCAGGGGGGAAUAUGGGACAAUGGGCGCAAGCCGGAUGCAGCCAUGCCGGGGUUUUGAGGAGGGCCUUCGGGUUGUAAAGGACUUUAAGCGGGGAGGCGUUACCCGCAGAAUAAGCACCGGCUAACUCCGUGCCAGCAGCCGCGGUAAUAC
rnacentral:rRNA from 1 species